CGCGCAGAGGCAGAGAUGAAGGGAACCUUUUUUCUCUGGCUCCACGUUUUUAUUAUUUCUAAUCAAGUUCCAUUUAUGUACAGUCGUACUUACACUUUGGUGGAUCAGAAUUAACAAUUCACGUUAACUUUAUGAGAUACUUGUUGGAAAAGUUGCACUCUAUACGAACCAAGACAUCAUGGCCACAUAUUUCGGGUUAUCUUCGCUCGUUGCUUCAGAAGUCAAACAAAGCUUCAGUGUUAAAAGGCUAGAUGGUCGCCAUUUUUUACAAGAACCAUGAUUGGGUACACUUUGCUAUAGUUAACGCCUACUUGCAACGCCAUCAACUUUGACUCUUGGCAUAGCUUUUGAAUCACGUUCAAUUGUCACCAGUUCUACUUUGUAUUGUACGUUCGACAUUGCAGUGGGAUUCCACUACGUUGAAUAUGUCCGGUGAUGUUCGGUUCACGUCCGCUAGAUGUCUACGCAGUUUUAAGGCCAUGACCCCUGAGGAGCAAUUGAAAUGUUUGGGUUAACGCGUGGUUGUUGGCUUGUGCACCGCGAGUUUCAGGUUUUAAACAAUUCUUUUCAUUUGCUGGGCAGCAUGCAACAAAACCUUGAGUUUCUGUCUCGUUCCUGUUUGGAAUUGAUCAAAAAAAGGAAUAUUGAAACUCAUUUUGGCAAUCGUUUGUGGUGAAUUUCUUUUUAAUUCAAUCUUAGCUUUCCAUUUGUGGACAAAGACGUGGCGGCAGAGCCAUCGACCAAUGUUUCUUCAAAUCAAUUUUAUUUCACGUCUGAAGGCGACAACCAGUGGAAUUUUCUUGCUAUUUGAUUUCCUGGCUUUCGCUUGUUUAACGAAAUAAAUCACACCCAAUUUACUUUCGUUGAUUUCACGUAGGCAGUGAAGUCCGUCGGAGUUAUCUGGGUUAGACGCCCGAAGCAGACAACUUUAUUUAUGGAUUGAUCACACAAUUGGAAUGAUGAAGAUGCUAAGCCUCUAACCACCGUCGUAUAAUUGAGGGGAAAAAGAGAAAGCUGCCGUUGGUUGACGAUAAAGAUUAACAGAUGUGUCUGACCUCUCAGACACUCGACGGCAUCCACAAGUUCUCCGACUGCCGCAUUUUUGCUGUCUGCUCAAGUCCUUGUUUCCCAGCCAUUAGUUUAGUGGUUUGUGGUUGAAACUUGACUACUCUAUAGUUCCACGUAAUCAUCCCUUUCUAAAAUUGGAUGCGCGAAAAAACCCACUCUGUCGUGUCGCUUCUUUUUAGCGAAAUGGAAGAAAAUUUGGCGUGUUCCACUUUUAAAAAGAUACAGCACAACAGAAAAGGAAUUCUGUUAUGAGUUCCUACUUGUCAAAUCAUCCAAACGUUUUACAAUAUACGUUUGGUUAUUAUUCGUCAAGAUUUUUCUUCCAUCAACAGAAUUGGAUUGCAAUCGUAAAACAAUAAAACUACAAGAUCAUCGACGUGAGCUACCCUUAGAUCCACACGGAAAUCAUGUUUUUUAUCAACGUGAUGUAAUAAACUUUUAUGCCUAACGAACCGAAUAAUUCAAACUCGGGCAAUGAGGAACAAGCUGUAACUGCAACGUAAAAAAAAGGGUUUCAAUCAUGUUGCGAUAAACGUUCAAUAAAAUGUUGAAGUGAUUCUCAUAUUCGAUUCAAUAACUAGACAUGAAUUGUUUGUAUAUUGUGUAUGUUUUUUUGCGUUUGCUGCACUGCAACAAAAAAAGGGUGGAUCUAUUCUGAGCAACUAUACAGUAACUAGUGAACCGAGCAAUAAAAUAUCCAGAAUUUUUCAGCACAUAGUUCGAUUAAUUAGAAAAA